ensembl:lncRNA
GGUGGGCAAGGCCUUGCUCAGUAAAGCUUUAAUCCAGUCAUCUGCUGAUGGGUAGGGUGGUACUCCCUCCCUAUUGUUUGGCCUGAGGCAACCCAGCCCUGGGGUCUACAGGUUCUAUAGUAGGGUUAAAGGCAACCUCCAAGAGGGCUUAUGCCAAAAGGGGCCUUCCAGGACUGCUGCUGCCAGUGCCACUGUCCCUAUGUUUGUGGGCCACCCACCCAGUGGGUAAGGGGUUUGAUUUUAUUGUGAUUGUGCCCCUCCUACCAUCUCGCUGCAGCUUCCUCCCUGUCUUUGGAUGUGGGAUAUCUUUUUUUGGCCUUGUGAGAGAAGGGCUAUUUCCUGUCUGGUUCGACGAUUAAUCUUCAAGGUAAACAAGGAUUCUAAACUAAGAAGUCUGGCUCCAAAAUCUGCGCUUUCGGCCACUACAUUAUGCUGUUAUUUGGUGAAGAAAGUAGAGGGUGGGCUUCUGUGUAUUCAGGCAAACAAGCGGACAAAAAGAGAAACCACUAACAGAAACGAGCUGAAGAAAAACAUCCGGAUCCAGGAGCUCAGCGCCCGCUCGUGACCUUUCUCUCCGGAAGCGCUUGCGGCCCUCUAGCGCGAGUACGCACGCGCGGCGCCGGGGUCGCUUUGGGUCGCGCGCGAAA